AGGCCCGUAGCUUAAUUGGUAAAGCUCGCUUUACGUCUUUUUAAGGCUAUGCAGGUUCAAAUCCUGCCGGGUCUA